rnacentral:rRNA from 1 species
GACGAACGCUGGCGGCGUGCUUAACACAUGCAAGUCGAACGAAGAGCGACGGAAGCUUGCUUCUAUCAAUCUUAGUGGCGAACGGGUGAGUAACGCGUAAUCAACCUGCCCUUCAGAGGGGGACAACAGUUGGAAACGACUGCUAAUACCGCAUACGAUCUAAUCUCGGCAUCGAGGAUAGAUGAAAGGUGGCCUCUACAUGUAAGCUAUCACUGAAGGAGGGGAUUGCGUCUGAUUAGCUAGUUGGAGGGGUAACGGCCCACCAAGGCGAUGAUCAGUAGCCGGUCUGAGAGGAUGAACGGCCACAUUGGGACUGAGACACGGCCCAGACUCCUACGGGAGGCAGCAGUGGGGAAUCUUCCGCAAUGGACGAAAGUCUGACGGAGCAACGCCGCGUGAGUGAUGACGGCCUUCGGGUUGUAAAGCUCUGUUAAUCGGGAGGAAAGGCCUUCUUGCGAAUAGUGAGAA